UACGGGGGGGGCAAGCGUUGUUCGGAAUUACCGGGCGUAAAGCGCACGUAGGCGGACUAUUAAGUCAGGGGUGAAAUCCCGGGGCUCAACCCCGGAACUGCCUUUGAUACUGGUAGUCUCGAGUCCGGAAGAGGUGAGUGGAAUUCCGAGUGUAGAGGUGAAAUUCGUAGAUAUUCGGAGGAACACCAGUGGCGAAGGCGGCUCACUGGUCCGGUACUGACGCUGAGGUGCGAAAGCGUGGGGAGCAAACAGG
rnacentral:rRNA from 1 species